rnacentral:rRNA from 1 species
CCUACGGGUGGGCAGCAGUCGAGAAUCAUUCACAAUGGGGGAAACCCUGAUGGUGCGACGCCGCGUGGGGGAAUGAAGGCCCUCGGAUUGUAAACCCCUGUCAUGUGGGAGCAAAUUAAAAAGAUAGUACCACAAGAGGCAGAGACGGCCAACUCUGUGCCAGCAGCCGCGGUAAUACAGAGGUCGCAAGCGUUGUUCGGAAUCAUUGGGCGUAAAGCGUGCGUAGGCUGUUUCGUAAGUCGUGUGUGAAAGUCGCAGGCUCAACCCGCGGACUGCACAUGAUACUGCGAGACUAGAGUAAAGGAGAGGGAGCCGGAAUUCUCGGUGUAGCAGUGAAAUGCGUAGAUAUCAAGAGGAACACUCAUGGCGAAGGCAGGUUCCUGGACAUUAACUGACGCUGAGGCACGAAGGCGAGGGGAGCGAAAGGGAUUAGAUACCCGUGUAGUC